rnacentral:rRNA from 1 species
UAGUCCACGCCGUAAACGAUGUCAACUAGCCGUUGGUUCCAUUCAAGGGAUCAGUGGUGCAGCUAACGCAUUAAGUUGACCGCCUGGGGAGUACGCGCGCAAGCGUAAAACUCAAAGGAAUUGACGGAGGCCCGCACAAGCGGUGGAGUAUGUGGUUUAAUUCGAAGCAACGCGAAGAACCUUACCUGGAUUUGACAUCCUUGGACGCUGCUAGAGAUAGUAGUUUCUCGCAAGAGACCAAGUGACAGGUGCUGCAUGGCUGUCGUCAGCUCGUGUCGUGAGAUGUUGGGUUAAGUCCCGCAACGAGCGCAACCCUUGUCCUUAUUUGCCAUCAUUAAGUUGGGAACUUUAAGGAGACUGCCGGUGAUAAACCGGAGGAAGGUGGGGAUGACGUCAAGUCCUCAUGGCCCUUACAUCCAGGGCUACACACGUACUACAAUGGCCAAACAAAGUGAAGCGAAGCAGCAAUGUGGAGCAAAACGCAAAAACAUAGGUCUC